AAAAAAAAAAAAAAAAUCCAUAAUAGAUCAGCUUCCAAAAUCACCAAAAACCCACAACAGAACAUUAAAAAGGAAAAAAAACGACAAUUGGAACACAUAUAAAUGAACAAUAGCAAAAACUACAAGGGUUUAACACUAUAAAAGAACAAGGGCUAAAACUAAUGUAAGUCCAUAUAAAGACACCACCCAUCUCAUCAAUCACCGAUGUGGUACUUUUCUCAUUCUUCAACAACUACAAGGGUUUAAGGUAGGCUAACAAUCACCAAAAAAACCCACAACAGAACAUUAAAAAGAAACAAAUUAAAGAAUACAAAGAGUUCGAGGUAGGUAAAAAAUUUGUACCUUUUGGGCCUCAAACCCAUCGAAAAAAUUGAGGAAAAUUGCAAGCAGAGAGCAAAGAAGAGUGAAAACAAGAGUUUCAGUGAAGCCCCAAAUUUGAUCACAGCCAAACAAGACC